rnacentral:rRNA from 1 species
GACGAACGCUGGCGGCGUGCUUAACACAUGCAAGUCGAACGGAAAGGCCCUGCUUUUGUGGGGUGCUCGAGUGGCGAACGGGUGAGUAACACGUGAGUAACCUGCCCUUGACUUUGGGAUAACUUCAGGAAACUGGGGCUAAUACCGGAUAGGAGCUCCUGCUGCAUGGUGGGGGUUGGAAAGUUUCGGCGGUUGGGGAUGGACUCGCGGCUUAUCAGCUUGUUGGUGGGGUAGUGGCUUACCAAGGCUUUGACGGGUAGCCGGCCUGAGAGGGUGACCGGCCACAUUGGGCCUGGGAUACGGCCCAGACUCCUACGGGAGGCAGCAGUGGGGACUAUUGCACAAUGGGCGGAAGCAUGAUGCAGCAACGCCGCGUGCGGGAUGACGGCCUUCGGGUUGUAAACCGCUUUCGCCUGUGACGAAGCGUGAGUGACGGUACUGGGUAAAGAAGCACCGGCUAACUACGU